GACGGAGGAUGCAAGUGUUAUCCGGAAUCACUGGGCGUAAAGCGUCUGUAGGUGGUUCGAAAAGUCCACUGUUAAAAAUUGAGGCUUAACUUCAAAGAUGCCGUGGAAACUUUCAAACUAGAGUAUGGUAGGGGUAGAGGGAAUUUCCAGUGGAGCGGUGAAAUGCGUAGAUAUUGGAAAAGACCACCGAUGGCGAAGGCACUCUACUGGGCCACUACUGACACUGAGAGACGAAAAGCUAGGGGGAGCAAAUGGG
rnacentral:rRNA from 1 species